GAUGAAGAACGCAGCGAAAUGCGAUAAGUAAUGUGAAUUGCAGAAUUCAGUGAAUCAUCGAAUCUUUGAACGCACAUUGCGCCCGCCAGUAUUCUGGCGGGCAUGCCUGUCCGAGCGUCAUUUCAACCCUCGAACCCCUCCGGGGGGUCGGCGUUGGGGAUCGGCCCUUUACGGGGCCGGCCCCGAAAUACAGUGGCGGUCUCGCCGCAGCCUCUCCUGCGCAGUAGUUUGCACACUCGCAUCGGGAGCGCGGCGCGUCCAAUGCCGUAAAACACCCAACUUUCUGAAAUGUUGACCUCGGAUCAGGUAGGAAUACCCGCUGAACUUAAGCAUAUCAAUAAGCGAGGA
rnacentral:misc_RNA from 1 species